rnacentral:rRNA from 1 species
UAGUAACGGCGAGUGAAGCGGCAACAGCUCAAAUUUGAAAUCUGGCUUCGGCCCGAGUUGUAAUUUGCAGAGGAAGCUUUAGGCGCGGCACCUUCUGAGUCCCCUGGAACGGGGCGCCAUAGAGGGUGAGAGCCCCGUAUAGUUGGAUGCCUAGCCUGUGUAAAGCUCCUUCGACGAGUCGAGUAGUUUGGGAAUGCUGCUCAAAAUGGGAGGUAAAUUUCUUCUAAAGCUAAAUACCGGCCAGAGACCGAUAGCGCACAAGUAGAGUGAUCGAAAGAUGAAAAGCACUUUGAAAAGAGGGUUAAAUAGCACGUGAAAUUGUUGAAAGGGAAGCGCUUGUGACCAGACUUGCGCCGGGCGGAUCAUCCGGUGUUCUCACCGGUGCACUCCGCCCGGCUCAGGCCAGCAUCGGUUCUCGCGGGGGGAUAAAGGUCCUGGGAACGUAGCUCCUCCGGGAGUGUUAUAGCCCGGGGCGUAAUGCCCUCGCGGGGACCGAGGUUCGCGCAUCU